rnacentral:tRNA from 1 species
CAAGUUAACUUAAUAGAUAAGAAUUUCAUUUACAUUGAAAUUUAUGUUGUGCAAAUCAAUAUAACUUGA